AACGAACGCUGGCGGCAGGCCUAACACAUGCAAGUCGAACGCCCCGCAAGGGGAGUGGCAGACGGGUGAGUAACACGUGGGAACCUUCCCUAUAGUACGGAAUAGCCCAGGGAAACUUGGAGUAAUACCGUAUACGCCCGAAAGGGGAAAGAAUUUCGCUAUAGGAUGGGCCCGCGUAGGAUUAGCUAGUUGGUGAGGUAAUGGCUCACCAAGGCGACGAUCCUUAGCUGGUUUGAGAGAACGACCAGCCACACUGGGACUGAGACACGGCCCAGACUCCUACGGGAAGCAGCAGUGGGGAAUAUUGGACAAUGGGCGCAAGCCUGAUCCAGCCAUGCCGCGUGAGUGAUGAAGGCCUUAGGGUUGUAAAGCUCUUUUGGCGGGGACGAUAAUGACGGUACCCGCAGAAUAAGUCCCGGCUAACUUCGUG
rnacentral:rRNA from 1 species